rnacentral:rRNA from 1 species
GAUGAACGCUAGCUACAGGCUUAACACAUGCAAGUCGAGGGGCAGCAUAAUCGAAGCUUGCUUUGAUUGAUGGCGACCGGCGCAUGGGUGAGUAACGCGUAUCCAACCUUCCCAUUACUCAGGUAUAGCCCAGUGAAAACUGGAUUAAUCCCUGAUGCGGUCUCGUGCAGACAUCUAAGCGAGACCAAAGUUUUCAACGGUAAUGGAUGGGGAUGCGUCUGAUUAGCUUGUUGGCGGGGUAACGGCCCACCAAGGCGACGAUCAGUAGGGGUUCUGAGAGGAAGGUCCCCCACAUUGGAACUGAGACACGGUCCAAACUCC